AUUGAACGCUGGCGGCAGGCCUAACACAUGCCAGUCGAGCGGAUGAAGGGAGCUUGCUCCUGGAUUCAGCGGCGGACGGGUGAGUAAUGCCUAGGAAUCUGCCUGGUAGUGGGGGAUAACGUCCGGAAACGGGCGCUAAUACCGCAUACGUCCUGAGGGAGAAAGUGGGGGAUCUUCGGACCUCACGCUAUCAGAUGAGCCUAGGUCGGAUUAGCUAGUUGGUGGGGUAAAGGCCUACCAAGGCGACGAUCCGUAACUGGUCUGAGAGGAUGAUCAGUCACACUGGAACUGGGACACGGUCCAGACUCCUACGGGAGGCAGCAGUGGGGAAUAUUGGACAAUGGGCGAAAGCCUGAUCCAGCCAUGCCGCGUGUGUGAAGAAGGUCUUCGGAUUGUAAAGCACUUUAAGUUGGGAGGAAGGGCAGUAAGUUAAUACCUUGCUGUUUUGACGUUACCAACAGAAUAAGCACCAGCUAACUUCGUG
rnacentral:rRNA from 1 species